AAACGUAGGGGGCGAGCGUUGUCCGGAAUGAUUGGGCGUAAAGGGCGCGUAGGCGGCCCGGUAAGUCUGGAGUGAAAGUCCUGUUUUUAAGAUGGGAAUUGCUUUGGAUACUGUCGGGCUUGGGUGCAGGAGAGGUAAGUGGAAUUCCAAGUGUACCGGAGAAAUGCGUAGAGAUUGGGAGGAACACCAGUGGCUAAGGCGACUUACUGGACUGUAACUGACGCUGAGGCGCGAAAGUGUGGGGAGCAAACAGGAUUAGAUACCCUGGUAGUCCACACUGUAAACGAUGAAUGCUAGGUGUAGGGGGUAUCGACCCCUUCUGUGCCGCAGUCAACACAAUAAGCAUUCCGCCUGGGGAGUACGGCCGCAAGGUUGAAACUCAAAGGAAUUGGCGGGG
rnacentral:rRNA from 1 species